rnacentral:sRNA from 1 species
GCUGGGCGUGGUGGUGCACAUCUGUAAUCCCAGCAACUCUGGAGGCUGAGGCAGGAGAGUCGCAAGUUCAAAGCCAGCCUCAG